rnacentral:rRNA from 1 species
CACGUAGGGGGCAAGCGUUGUCCGGAUUUAUUGGGCGUAAAGAGCUCGUAGGCGGCUCAGUAAGUCAGGUGUGAAACCUCCAGGCUCAACCUGGAGACGCCACCUGAUACUGCUGUGGCUAGAGUCCGGUAGGGGAGCGUGGAAUUCCUGGUGUAGCGGUGAAAUGCGCAGAUAUCAGGAGGAACACCGGUGGCGAAGGCGGGUCUCUGGGCCGAUACUGACGCUGAGGAGCGAAAGCGUGGGGAGCGAACAGG